AUCCCUCUGACGCGUCUGAAAUAGGACGAAACGCGCGUCCUGAAU
rnacentral:hammerhead_ribozyme from 1 species